rnacentral:ribozyme from 1 species
UUACCUUUGGUUGGGUUUCUUGCCUGGUAUAAGUGAGGAGGCCUUGUUUCGUGGGGCGUUGCUUCCGGCAACCGGCUUUGCUGACUGGAGAGGUGUGAUCAUAUCCGCAGCAGUG